AGUAGUUUGAUCCUGGCUCGAGGACGACGCUGGCGGCGUGCUUAACACAUGCAAGUCGAACGAGACGAUUUUAAGCUUGCUUAGAUGAGUCGAGUGGCAAACGGGUGAGUAACGCGUAGACAACCUGCCGCAAAGAUGGGGACAACAGUCCGAAAGGACUGCUAAUACCGAAUGUUGUAUUGUUUCCGCAUGGAGACGAUAUUAAAGAUGGCCUCUACUUGUAAGCUAUCGCUUUGUGAUGGGUCUGCGUCUGAUUAGCUAGUUGGUGGGGUAACGGCCUACCAAGGCGACGAUCAGUAGCCGGUCUGAGAGGAUGAACGGCCACAUUGGAACUGAGACACGGUCCAGACUCC
rnacentral:rRNA from 1 species